rnacentral:rRNA from 1 species
UAGGGAAUAUUAGUAAUGGGCGAAAGCCUGAACUAGCAACGCCGCGUGUGCGAAGAAGGCCUUCGGGUUGUAAAGCACUUUUUGAGAGGAUGAGGAAGGACGGUACUCUCAGAAUAAGUCUCGGCUAACUACGUGCCGGCAGCCGCGGUAACACGUAGGAGGCGAACGUUAUCCGGAUUUACUGGGCGUAAAGCGCGUGUAGGUGGUUUGGUAAGUAGGGCGUGAAAGCUCCUGGCUCAACUGGGAGAGGCCGUUCUAAACUGCCGAACUAGAGGAUGGUAGAGGGAGGUGGAAUUCCGGGUGUAGCGGUGGAAUGCGCAGAUAUCCGGAGGAACACCAGUGGCGAAAGCGUCCUCCUGGACCACUCCUGACACUCAGACGCGAAAGCUAGGGUAGCAAACGG